rnacentral:rRNA from 1 species
GAUCAUGGCUCAGGAUGAACGCUGGCGGCGUGCCUAACACAUGCAAGUCGAGCGAGAAAUCUUGGAAUGAAACUUCGGUUGAGUGAAGAGAUGGAAAGCGGCGGACGGGUGAGUAACGCGUAGGCAACCUGCCUUAUGCAGAGGGAUAGCCAUUGGAAACGAUGAUUAAAACCUCAUAAUGCCAUCGUAUCACAUGAUGAGAUGGUCAAAGAUUUAUCGG